ACGACCAUACUUGAACAGGAUCUGUUCUAUAGUACGUACAUCUUGACAUGUGAUCACUAUCAUAGACAAGUCCCUUAACCCGGACGAUGAGCAGGGGCUUGCGUGCCAGUACGCGAAUACUGCAGUCCGGGCCGGACGAAAGUCUGCGCUCGGUCAGCUUGAUGAACGUCCUGCCGCGUUGAAGGCGUUGAAGGCAGUCAAGCGUUCUGACGGGUC
rnacentral:snoRNA from 1 species